GACGAACGCUGGCGGCGUGCCUAAUACAUGCAAGUCGAGCGAAGCGGGGACGGGUGAGUAACACGUGGAUAACCUCCUAUAAGACUGGGAUAACUUCCGGAAACCGGAGCUAAACCGGAUCCUUAUCGAUGGAUUCGCGCUGCAUUAGUUAGUUGGUAAGGUAACGGCUUACCAAGGCAACGAUGCAUAGCCGACCUGAGAGGGUGAUGGGCCACACUGGAACUGAGACACGGUCCAGACUCCUACGGAAGGCAGCAGUGGGGAAUCGUCCGCAAUGGGCGAGAGCCUGACGGAGCCACGCCGCGUGAGUGAAGAAGGUCUUCGGGUCGUAAAACACUGUAAUUAGGGAAGCGGUACCUAAACAGAAAGCCGCGGCUAACUACGUGCCAGCAGCCGCGGUAAUAC
rnacentral:rRNA from 1 species